rnacentral:rRNA from 1 species
AUUGAACGCUGGCGGCAGGCCUAACACAUGCAAGUCGAGCGCGCGGCGGACGGGUGAGUAAUGUAUGGGGACUGCCCGAUGGAGGGGGAUAACUACUGGAAACGGUGGCUAAUACCGCAUACUCUCGGGUUACCCAUAUGGGAUUAGCUAGUAGGUGAGGUAACGGCUCACCGAGGCGCAGCUCCCUAGCUGGUCUGAGAGGAUGACCAGCCACACUGGGACUGAGACACGGCCCAGACUCCUACGGAGGCAGCAGUGGGGAAUAUUGGACAAUGGGCGCAAGCCGGAUGCAGCCAUGCCGCGUGUAUGAAGAAGGCCUUAGGGUUUUAAAGUACUUUCAGCCGGGAGGCGUUAUCUGCAGAAGAAGCACCGGCUAACUCCGUGCCAGCAGCCGCGGUAAUUC